CCUACGGGUGGCAGCAGUGGGGAAUAUUGCACAAUGGGCGCAAGCCUGAUGCAGCAACGCCGCGUGAGCGAUGAAGGCCUUCGGGUCGUAAAGCUCUGUCCUAAAGGAAGAUAAUGACGGUACUUGAGUAGGUAGCCCCGGCUAACUACGUGCCAGCAGCCGCGGUAAUACUUAGGGGGCUAGCGUUAGCCGGAAUUACUGUGCGUAAAGUGUGCGUAGGUGGUUUCUUAAGUCAGAGGUGAAAGGAUACGGCUCAACCGUAGUAAGCCUUUGAAAGUGCGGACCGUGAGUGCAGGAGAGGAGAGUGGAAUUCCUAGUGAAGCGGUGAAAUGCGUAGAAAUUAGAAGGAAAACCAGUUGCGAAGGCGGCUCUUUGGAUUGUAACUGACACUGAGGCACGAAAGCGUGGGGAGCAAACAGGAUUAGAUACCCGAGUAGUC
rnacentral:rRNA from 1 species